GGGUCUGUAGCUAAGACGGGACAGCACUCGCCUCUUACGCGAGCAAUGCGGGAGUUCGAUUCUCCCCGGACCCACCA
rnacentral:tRNA from 1 species